rnacentral:lncRNA from 1 species
GGCCUGUGGUGGCUGCCGGGGAGGCUGGGAAGGAGGAGGAGCCCCACUGUGAUGUAAUGGAGGCCCUGCCUGGCUGCUGGGGUGUGGUACGUGCAAACCUUGUUGUAUGGAGGGAUGGGGCUGGUCAGAACUGCCAGCGUGGGGCAUCUGUGGAGGAGGAGAGAGCAGGAGAAAAGAGAGGUGAGGUGACGGAGGCACAACGACGGGAUGCCUGGAGAAAAUGAAAACCGAACAAACCAGGAAGUAACGGACCCCAAAACGAGGGCACCCCUCAACAGAGAACAAUGAUCCGCCGUUGAGGGACGGGGUAGAAAAAAAACAAACAAAUCGUCCUCUCCAGAAACCAACAACCAGGAAGGCUGUGAAGGGACAAGUGGAGAAGGCCUUCACAAAGCCUAGGAAGGGCCUCGAGCCAGCACAGGCCAGAGAGCCUCCCACCCCCACACUGUCACAACAAACAACAGCGAGGCCAGAAUGGACAAGCAAAUGGACGUGUUUCUGGGAAGCGGUAGCUGCUGGCAGCGUGGUGCAGGGCCCUCCCCCGAGGACCAGGGCAGUGCAGAGCAGGCGUGGACACAGCACGGGCAGGCGUGCAGCUCCCCCUGGCUGGCAGUAAAGAGGAGACAGGUGCUCAGCCCGCUUCCCUCUGGGAUGAAACUCAUCUGCAGUCAAAAUGGCGGACCAGGGAGAAAACCUGGCUGGCCAGGGGCAUUUCAGACAGCAGAUGUCCCAUGACACCCACCCAGAGGAAACAGGGAGGGACUCCACACUCUCAUGACCAGCUUAGCUCAGGACAGACAUCUCGGAUCCUAUGAUAUAGCUUCUCCCCUAGACCUCAACAAGAGUGUCUCAGAGCCAGAAGUACUGCUGUUGUGUCUGCCAAUCUGCUGCCUAGUGCGGGGAGAACUCUUGGGCAAACCAGCGCUUGGUUAGAACCUUCUAGAGAAUCCUGGACUACACAAAAAACCCUCCAGCCAUCUGCCCAGCCAGGGCCAGCUGCUUCUAGAUACAACAAGGCAGCUCUGCAGAAGCCCCCUACCCAAGGGAGCUGUGUCGCCAGGCAUUGUACUCAUUCUUGGUGGGAAAUCGGGGAUGUAAGAGAAGAUGAGAAGCCUCCAACCCCAUUACUAGGCACUGAGGAAACUCUGGACCUUUUCUGGCUGGUCUUCUUAUCUGUGCCCCUUCCCUCCAAGCCAGGCUGCACCUCCCUAGUCGAGGCCACACUUACUGUUGGAUGGCGUUCAGGAUCCCCCACAUGUACUGAUCCACUUCCAGACCCUCGAGCAGAGCAGUUUUACUGGAAGAGAAGAACAGAGGCUUGGUCUUUGCGCCUGGAGGCAGGACACAGCCCGCCCACCUCCACUGUCCUGCCACUGUGGAUACAAUGGAGGCACAGAGUGCAAUAUAGCAGUGAAAUCCAAGGCCCAUGCCUCUGUGGGGCUGGUUUUGCCUGAAGGGUAGGUAAAGCAGCUAAGAGGCCCAAGAAGAGGCCAGAGGGCACCUCUGCUCUGCAAGGGCCUCAGAGAUGGACCUGAAGGAGAAAACAAGACUGAGAGAGCACGAGAUACUGGCUGCCGAUGGCCGCAAUGUCUCUCAGGCAGCAACAGGCUCUGUUGGCCCUUGGCCUGCCCCUUGUCACCCUGCUAACUCUGUACAGCCUGGGCCUGCUCACCUGCACAUGCUUGCAAUCGUGGCCUCGAGCAGGCAGCUGUAUGCGCCGGAAUGUGAUGGGGCACUUCAGAGACACCUUGAUGGCGGUCUGCUCCACGCCAUCCUCCCCAUUGAGAGUUGUGUUGCCCGAGGAGGCAGCCACACUGCUGAAAUUCCGCUUGACUGUGAGUGAGGAGGCAGAGGGUGAGGGCUGGGUGCUCCACUGAGGAAAUUGGAUCUCAGCAGCUCCUAAACACGGCUUGGAUUCCCCACCCCUGCAUCCCACAUGCCACACAUGCCAUGUGCAGGUGAGAGAGAAAGGACUAAGGAGGAUCCCUUUUCUGAAGAACAAACCCUACCCCUGGGAGCAAGAACUUUCUGCCAAGCUUGCAGA